rnacentral:rRNA from 1 species
AUGGGGAAUCUUAGACAAUGGGCGCAAGCCUGAUCUAGCCAUGCCGCGUGAGUGAUGAAGGCCCUAGGGUCGUAAAGCUCUUUCGCCAGGGAUGAUAAUGACAGUACCUGGUAAGGAAACCCCGGCUAACUCCGUGCCAGCAGCCGCGGUAAUACGGAGGGGGUUAGCGUUGUUCGGAAUUACUGGGCGUAAAGCAUACGUAGGCGGAUCAGAAAGUAUAGGGUGAAAUCCCAGGGCUCAACCCUGGAACUGCCUUAUAAACUCCUGGUCUUGAGUUCGAGAGAGGUGAGUGGAAUUCCAAGUGUAGAGGUGAAAUUCGUAGAUAUUUGGAGGAACACCAGUGGCGAAGGCGGCUCACUGGCUCGAUACUGACGCUGAGGUACGAAAGUGUGGGGAGCAAACAGGAUUAGAUACCCUGVAUAGUCCACACCGUAAACGAUGAAUGCCAGUCGUCGGGCAGUAUACUGUUCGGUGACACACUAACGGAUUAAGCAUUCCGCCUGGGGAGUACGGUCGCAAGAUUA